UGGGGUAUAGCCAAGUGGUAAGGCAGCGGUUUUUGGUACCGCCAUUCCCUGGUUCGAAUCCAGGUACCCCAGCCA
rnacentral:tRNA from 2 species